AACACCACAAAAAAAGAAAAAAGUAGUUGUGGAGGAUUCACCUCCUGAAGAAGAUCAAUACUUUUACGGUGAGACAUAUGAAAUAUCGAGUGACGAACUCGAUGAAUUGCUAGGGGAAAACGUUCAUAAAUCUGCUGCAGAGGGGGACAACCAGGCUGACCUGCGAUCGACAGAAGGUCGCUAUGUGUCCUCUGAAACGUAAGA